rnacentral:rRNA from 1 species
GUGUCAGCAGCCGCGGUAAGACGAACCGUGCGAACGUUAUUCGGAAUCACUGGGCUUAAAGCGCGUGUAGGCGGAUGGGAACGUCGGAACCUGAAAGCCCCCGGCUCAACCGGGGAACUGGGGCCGAAACGACCCGUCUGGAGGGACCUAGGGGGAUCUGGAACUUCCGGUGGAGCGGUGAAAUGCGUUGAGAUCGGAAGGAACGCCCGUGGCGAAAGCGAGAUCCUGGACGUCUACUGACGCUGAGACGCGAAAGCUAGGGGAGCGAACGAGAUUAGAUACCCGCGUAGUCC